CUACAGUGGAGCAUCCACAGAAAAAUGGCUUGGCUACGAUACUCCACUCGUGAAGACGCGUCGGGCGUUGGUCAGGCAGUCAUCAGUGACAGACUAAGAAGAGACGGAACUGCGGUCGUGCCAAGAAGGGCUGUGGGCAUGUGCAGCCCAUCCUCUGCACAAGAACAAGGCCAUAUAAAAAGUUUGUCAUCAGGAACAUUGUUGAGGCUGCUGCCAUCAAGGAUAUCUCAGAGGCUAGCGUGUUUGAAUCUGACAGACUGCAAAGAAGGAUCACGGCUGCAUUAUGUACUCUGAACGACUACAGCGGAGACAAUGAAAUAGAUGCUAUUCUCCCGUUCUGUACGAACGUUUAUUCAAACAAACUGAGAACCGAGGCUAUAACCGUCACAUCAACUCUCCCGGGAACCUCCCCCCACUUGCUCCAUAUUCCAGACCCAAACAAGCAACGCACAACUCAGGCGCGAGUGCAUCGCGCAGAAUCAUCCCAGCCCGAAAAGUGUUACUGGGCCGGCAACUUACUGCUUCAAGAAACGGAGCUACAUGGGCACAACUCCUACGAGACAUGCCCGGCAGAAUCUGGAAUGCUUGGUGAAAAAAGUCUAGAGCCCCCGGUUUCCACGAUUCGUCAAAAAGCCGAGACUCCUCCCCGGUGUAUAACAGCAUAUAAGACCAUACACAAUGAGAGCACGCGGAGGAUUUCGGCACACGGGACAUCCCCAAUAAAACACAGAAACCGGAUGAUUUCAAAGUUUUAAAUUACAUUUCAGAGGUAGACGACUUGAUGUUAUGUGAAGCGGCCAACCUUCUUGAUUCCUCCAAUUCUUUUGUAGAAACACCCGAGCUUGAAAUAGAACAAGCUAGGUUUCUCACAGCCUUUUCCAGGGCUCUAAAAUCCAGAAAGGUUUUGCUCCACAAACGAAUGGUGGCUUUACUCGAGCGGCAAUACAGUCAGGAUCUAUCCUUCUGGCAUCGAACAAUGCCACUUUUGUUAAACAGCAAUCCGAUUAAAAAACGCAAAUACAGGCGCUAAAAACCUAUGUAACAGAAUACCACAAGAACACACAUCAUUAAUUACCCAAAUGGAUGAGCCAACAGACAUAAUUGAGACAGUUGGAACCCUGUUAUCGCAGAUACCGCCCGAACUCCAAGCUUUAAUUAACCAGAUGAAUGAGGCUGAGGUAACAGACAUAAUUCCGAUAGAUGAAACCCUGUUAUCCCACAUUCCCGCCGAACUCAUAGAAUGAAUUAAUCAUAUGACUGAGUCCGGGACGACCGAUGAAAACCUGUUAUCCCAGAUCCCUGGCGCACUCAUAUCGUUAAUUAACCAGAUGAAUGAGAGCAUAAGAUCUUCUACACAGGACCCCACACAAACCUUGCCAUUAACUGCCAUGUCCGAAAGAGUCUGAAACGCAAUAAGAUAUUUUUGGGGAAUUGGAAAAUUGUCUAAUAAAUCAGGUGUGAGAUGGUCUUGAUAGAAGUGUCUGGGUUGUGUACCGAAAUAAAUUCAGCAAUACAGAGAUUCAACAGUUUUUCAAUUUCACAUGGCUGAAUCAGAAUCUUGACGAUGCAGUGUUUUAUGUGAUGAUAUUGGAUACUCUGAACGAACUGUUAGACAGGGCAAGAGAUUAUGGCGAACCUCGUGAUGUUUUACAGUUGGAAAUUUGUGGAGAUAGCAUGCAAAACACUGUAUCUCUUAUUUUACCAAAUGGCGAAGCAGAUCUUGAACAAUUCAUAGCCUUGCUGGAACGACUUGUUCAGUCAAAUUUAUCCGUCAUAGCCGAUAGGACCCUCGAGCUUGUAGUGCAAAUAAUACGUCAACCCAGUGUGGUGGGGGGCAGAGAAGGAAACUAGAUAGCCUCAUGCAAUCAGAAAUCAUAAGCAAUUAAAGGGCAUAUCUCAUAAACGUUCACAAUCCUGGUAAUAAGCUAUGCUUUGCAAUAGGCCAAGCACAUUUACUCAACCCGGGAUGUACGGAUCUAGCGGCGUUACACAAGGCUAGAGAGCUCCAAAUGGCCGUGGGUCUAGGUAUACAGGAUGCGGUGGCAUUCUCCGACAGUCAAAUUUGAAAACUUUCUGAACAUCAAGAUUGUGGUUUUGUACCACAGUAGAGCUAAUGCAGCUCUCUUGAAAUUUCAAAACAACCCACAACCUCAUCCUCAGAUUCUGUACUUUUAUGUGCAAAAUGACCAUUAUGCUAUUACCAACAUCACAGCGUUUUUAGGCGCACCAUAUGUGUGUCCAUCCUGCCAUACAGGAUACACCCGAAAGGGGGGGGCACUCGUGCCGUUAUAACUGUUCAGUAUGUCUGGAUGAAACAUGUCCGAUGCAGCCCUUAAACCUAACACCCUGUGCGGAUUGUCACCGCACAUGUCGUUCGGCCUACUGUUACGAAAAACACAAAAUUGAAACAUGGCACCCCAAGGCCUGUAAAUCUGUAAGCAGUUGUGACAUUAACAAGAAAUGUCCAAAAUGCCAUUGCAAUUACAACCUUAAAAUAGACAGCCCUAAACCUCAUGUGUGUGGAAUCAUACAUUGCCCAAUCUGUGAAGGGCCUUUGAAAAGCAGAGACGCAGAAGUGGUUCAAGAAGUGCCACACGAGUGUUAUAUUCAGCCCUUGGCUGAAGAUGAACAUUCAGAGAAAUAUGUUUUUUAUGAUUUUGAGACUAAUCAGCAAUCUGGGGUUCAUUAGCCUAUUUUUGUAUCCACCAUGACUUUCAAGGGUGAUAAGUGGUCGGCAGAGGGGCCCAAUUGUGCACUCCUCUUUCUAAAAUACUUUAGAAAACCCCAGUACAGAAACUUCACGUUUAUAGAGCACAAUUCUAGAGCCUAUGACUCCAACCUUCUUUUGAACCCCUUGAUACAGCAAGGCGUUGCACCCAGUGUCAUAGCUCAAGGUAGUAAAAUCUUGUGUUUUGUAGACCCCGCCUUCAACCAGAGAUACAUUGACAGUUUAAGCUUCGUACCCAUGAUAUUGGCUCAAAUGCCAGAGGCCUUGGGUUUUGAGAACUCUGUGAAAAGCUGGUUUCCCCAUUUCUUCACAUCUGAGGAGAAUCUACAUUAUAUUGGAGCUUAUCCCAGCACCGAAAUGUACGGGUGUGAUCAGAAGUCUCACAAAGAGUGAGAGAGAUUCAUGACAUGGUACAAGACAGUAUGUCACAGCAUUUUUGAUUUCCACAAAGAGAUGGAGUCGUACUGUGACAACGAUGUAGUUAUACUUCGUGAAGGAUGCCUGAGAUUCAGAGAAGAGGUAAUCAAAGAUGCAGGCAUUGACCCCUGGAGUUGUACAACUAUUGCAUCGGCAUGCAUGAAAACCUAUCGUACACACUUUCUACAUACAGCAUCUAUAGCUAUCCCCUCGCCUGACAACUAACGACGCCAAUUCAAGUCAUACUCUAGUGGGUCCAUUCAAUGGUUGGAGUACUUGGCCCAGGAUAAAGAAAUUCUUAUUCAACAUGCUUUGAAUAGGGGUGAGAAGACGUUUGGGCCUUAUGUAGAUGGAUACACACAGAUUGACGAUGUUGAGACCGUGUUUGAGUACAACGGUUGUUUCUUCCACGGUUGUAAAAUUUGCUUUGUGCCCCAGGCCAUGUGUGUCCUAACCCAAAAUACUUUUGGGGAAAUGUACCAAGAGUUUCAAGACAAAUUGGAAUCUUUACAGGCUACUUACGGGUUAAAAGUGAAUGUGAUGUGGGAGCAUGUAACGACUUUCCUCUUCUUCUGACGAGGAGUAAGAGAUAUCGGACCAAUUUGCAGCGUGGUAAGUGUCCAUUUUAAUAUGUAAAACUGAACACUACAAAAAUACAAAAUAACAAAGUGAAAGAACAAACGAAAAUCUAAACAGUCCCGUAUGGUGCAAACACAGACACAGGAAACAACCACCCACAAAACACAAAGAAAAACGGGCUACCUAAAUAUGGCUCCCAAUUAGAGACAACGACUGACACCUGCCUCUGAUUGGGAACCAUACUAGGCCAAACACAUAGAAAUAUAACCAAAGAACAAAACAUAGAAAAACAACAUAGAAUGCCCACCCCAACUCACGCUCUGACCAAACUAAAAUAAAGACAUAAAAAAGGAACUAAGGUCAGAACGUGACAGAGCAUGAGUGGACCGCACUCAAAAAGUCUGAUCCUCAUGUUCGAGCCUUCCUUUCCAGCUUUGACACACCAGAACCCUUGGAACCACGACAGGUCUUGUAUGGAGGCCAUACCAAUGCUUUGACAUUGAGGUAUGUAGCGCAACCCGACGAGACAAAAGGAUAUGUAGAUUUUAUAUCCCUUUAUCCUCAUGUAAUGAGUUCCUCAUGCUAUCCUCUGGGGCAUCCUGGAAUUAUUCACCGCGACUUUGACUUACCCCAAAAUUAUUUUGGUCUGAUCAAAGCAACUGUCUUUCCCCUUUGUGAAAACAACAACCAGGAAAAGCCUUGUGAUCACUCAGAUCAAGAAAGAGCCCUGACAGGUGUAUGGGUCACAGUUGAAUUCUCUAAGGCUCUAGAGAUGAGGUAUCGUGUGGCCAAAAUCUUUGAAGGGUGGAACUUUUCCAGGAAAUCAGACACUCUUUUUAAAGAGUACAUCAAGACUUUCUUGAGAUGCAAGAAGAAAAUAGCCGGACCAUUAGUUUGAACGCCAAUUACAUGGUUUUGUUCAAAAACCCUAGAGACAAACUACAAAUUUACACUCUAGCUCAGCAGAUAUACCCGGGAAGGAAAUCCUACUUUAUGGAGAGCUAUGAGGACGCUACUAAAGCGUCAUUUUCUUAUUUAAUCGUGGAUUUAAAAGCAAAUACUCCAGAACACCUGAGGCUCCGAACCGGCCUGUUCCCAUGGGAGUGGCCGGCUGCGUACAUUCCUAAAAUGUAACCGCUAUGUCUCUGCGUUUAAAAGAAACCUGCCCCUCUUGAGAAACCUAGUUGGGGCUACAGCUAAAGAACGGAACACUGUUCUUCAGAUCUCAUAUUAUCCCUAUGUGAGAUUGCUUUGAAUCUUCUCAAAAGACGCAUUCCACUCACCCUGACCCAAUUUAAAAAAUUAAUGAGACAAAAGACCGCGAUCAAACUCUUUGCCAAUAAAAGGGCCAGUCUUCAAAAGAAAAGACAUAGCAUACAACAGUCUGGGGGUUUUCUUCUGCCGUUGCUAACUAUAGCUGUGCCCUUCAUCACCAGCUUUAUUGCUGCCAGACGUGGGGGUUGAACACAGAGUGUGAUGGCAAAUAAAAUGUACUUGGUGCCUCAACAAGAGUUGGAUAGACUUAAAAAACAAAUUCAGGGUCCUGAAAAUAUCAGACAAACAGCGGAAAAUAAUUUGGUUACAGCCAUGAAGGAUAUUUUUAACCGAAAAGAAUUGAACCCCUAUGAUAAGGUCCAAAAAUACACAAACCUCUUGCAAAGGUAUUUGGCCUUGGUAAAACAAGGUGAGAGAGAGACCAACCAUUUAAUGCUUUCCCUACCGGACCCUUUAAAAGAUGACGCGCCUAGCGAGAGCCAAGCCCCUGUAAUGCCUGUACCUGCGAUCUUACCUGCUGAAGAUCAAAUGCCUGUUGAAGAUAAAGUUAUGCAUGACAUGUUGACACGUUCCGGCACGUAACCGGAAAAAUGUUAGAUACAUUAUGAACAAGAUAUAUGACUCAAAGGGGACCGCUACUUGGAAUGACAAAGGAGAGUUUAUCCUUCAGGGCGCUGUUGUCAAGGGUUCCCAUAUGCUCGACUUGCUUAAAAGUACCACGGCAGCCCACAAGGUUGCUGAUGACAGAAGACCUCCCGGGUGGCGUCCGUUUCUUAAGGCCCUGGCAAUCCUCAACAUUCCCCUCUCGGCGGCAGGGGCGAAAAUCUGAGAUCAACCUUGGAGGGGACAAUUACAUUAAAUUUUCUCAAGAGCAAUUCCUGAGGGGGACACCAAAAGUAGUGCUGUAACACAUAGCAUACGUUGUUAAAUGUAUAUUGAGGAACCAUAAUUCCUACAACUGGAUAAUUGAUAGGUACAGUAGUUAACUGAAGGGUUUUCCCAACUUGUUCAAAUGUUUAAAUCAUUAUAAUCCUACUACUAAUAAUAGUUAUAGCAGUGCUCCUUACCAGUCCAGUAUGUAUGCAGGUAUUCAUACUUACAACCAGCAAUAUCAAGAAAGGUCAGUAGGUGACAAUGGUACUGUACACUGUAUGGGUGUAGUUUUCAUAAAUACAAUGAACAUGGUGUGAUCACAUCUAAAAGAAUCUCCAUUGAGAACCAUCACAAAGUUGGUCUCCGUAUUGAAUUGACCUUUUAAUUUGACUUUUUCUGAUACAUUUAUAUAGUCAUUAAAUAUGUGCACCUGGCCUGAGUCUACAAUAUCUUUGCAAGAACAAAAAGCUUAAAAUAAGUACAGUUCUAAAAGCAAAAUAACUACUUCAAUGAAAAACCCAAAUAAAUCAAACAAAAUAUCCUUCAGUGUCUCAACUCUUCAAACAGCAGCUAUGGACAAGUAUGUCGCACAAAGUAUGCCAUUUUAAAUAAAAUAACAUGAAAUAAAUCAUUUGUAAGUGUACUGAAAACUACUAAACAAAAGAACAACUAUCAAUUACACCAUGGGUUCUCAAACAGGGGUCCAUGGACUAAUUGCAAGGGGUCCGUGAAAUAAAAAAGUGUAAUGAAUGUAGUCAGUACCACAAGGUUUCCAGUAAUUUUACAUAUAAUAUAGAGGGGGUGGAGGUCCCUGAGGACCGCUCAAAACCUUGCCUGCCUUGCCUCAAAAUAUGCAGGGGUUCCAGUACCCCAAAAAGGUUGAGAACCACUGCUAUACACACUACUGAACAAAAGAACCGAGCAUAUGUUUGCGGGUUUCCUCAACAACACAUCAGUUGGCACUUUCGCAAUGCCCUCGCCUGUUGUCUCCGACACCCUGUAUAGCCCAAUAAACUCCUUGUGAGGGACAUGGUCAUGGUCAACAUAACGCAGACAGACAUUCUCCUGUUCAGCACCAGAGACAUCUUGAGUACCAUCAACAAUUAAUGAAAAUUGUACAAUCGGAAGAGACCUAAUCUCAGCUGCAA